rnacentral:rRNA from 1 species
GGUUAAGCGACUAAGCGUACACGGUGGAUGCCCCUGGCAGUCAGAGGCGAUGAAGGACGUGCUAAUCUGCGAUAAGCGUCGGUAAGGUGAUAUGAACCGUUAUAACCGGCGAUUUCCGAAUGGGGAAACCCAGUGUGUUUCGACACACUAUCAUUAACUGAAUCCAUAGGUUAAUGAGGCGAACCGGGGGAACUGAAACAUCUAAGUACCCCGAGGAAAAGAAAUCAACCGAGAUUCCCCCCAGUAGCGGCGAGCGAACGGGGAGGAGCCCAGAGCCUGAAUCAGUGUGUGUGUUAGUGGAAGCGUCUGGAAAGGCGCGCGAUACAGGGUGACAGCCCCGUACACAAAAAUGCACAUGCUGUGAGCUCGAUGAGUAGGGCGGGACACGUGGUAUCCUGUCUGAAUAUGGGGGGACCAUCCUCCAAGGCUAAAUACUCCUGACUGACCGAUAGUGAACCAGUACCGUGAGGGAAAGGCGAAAAGAACCCCGGCGAGGGGAGUGAAAAAGAACCUGAAACCGUGUACGUACAAGCAGUGGGAGCACAGAGCAAUCUGUGUGACUGCGUACCUUUUGUAUAAUGGGUCAGCGACUUAUAUUCUGUAGCAAGGUUAACCGAAUAGGGGAGCCGAAGGGAAACCGAGUCUUAACUGGGCGUUAAGUUGCAGGGUAUAGACCCGAAACCCGGUGAUCUAGCCAUGGGCAGGUUGAAGGUUGGGUAACACUAACUGGAGGACCGAACCGACUAAUGUUGAAAAAUUAGCGGAUGACUUGUGGCUGGGGGUGAAAGGCCAAUCAAACCGGGAGAUAGCUGGUUCUCCCCGAAAGCUAUUUAGGUAGCGCCUCGUGAAUUCAUCUCCGGGGGUAGAGCACUGUUUCGGCAAGGGGGUCAUCCCGACUUACCAACCCGAUGCAAACUGCGAAUACCGGAGAAUGUUAUCACGGGAGACACACGGCGGGUGCUAACGUCCGUCGUGAAGAGGGAAACAACCCAGACCGCCAGCUAAGGUCCCAAAGUCAUGGUUAAGUGGGAAACGAUGUGGGAAGGCCCAGACAGCCAGGAUGUUGGCUUAGAAGCAGCCAUCAUUUAAAGAAAGCGUAAUAGCUCACUGGUCGAGUCGGCCUGCGCGGAAGAUGUAACGGGGCUAAACCAUGCACCGAAGCUGCGGCAGCGACACUGUGUGUUGUUGGGUAGGGGAGCGUUCUGUAAGCCUGUGAAGGUGUGCUGUGAGGCAUGCUGGAGGUAUCAGAAGUGCGAAUGCUGACAUAAGUAACGAUAAAGCGGGUGAAAAGCCCGCUCGCCGGAAGACCAAGGGUUCCUGUCCAACGUUAAUCGGGGCAGGGUGAGUCGACCCCUAAGGCGAGGCCGAAAGGCGUAGUCGAUGGGAAACAGGUUAAUAUUCCUGUACUUGGUGUUACUGCGAAGGGGGGACGGAGAAGGCUAUGUUGGCCGGGCGACGGUUGUCCCGGUUUAAGCGUGUAGGCUGGUUUUCCAGGCAAAUCCGGAAAAUCAAGGCUGAGGCGUGAUGACGAGGCACUACGGUGCUGAAGCAACAAAUGCCCUGCUUCCGAGGAAAAGCCUCUAAGCAUCAGGUAACAUCAAAUCGUACCCCAAACCGACACAGGUGGUCAGGUAGAGAAUACCAAGGCGCUUGAGAGAACUCGGGUGAAGGAACUAGGCAAAAUGGUGCCGUAACUUCGGGAGAAGGCACGCUGAUAUGUAGGUGAAGUCCCUCGCGGAUGGAGCUGAAAUCAGUCGAAGAUACCAGCUGGCUGCAACUGUUUAUUAAAAACACAGCACUGUGCAAACACGAAAGUGGACGUAUACGGUGUGACGCCUGCCCGGUGCCGGAAGGUUAAUUGAUGGGGUCAGCGCAAGCGAAGCUCUUGAUCGAAGCCCCGGUAAACGGCGGCCGUAACUAUAACGGUCCUAAGGUAGCGAAAUUCCUUGUCGGGUAAGUUCCGACCUGCACGAAUGGCGUAAUGAUGGCCGGGCUGUCUCCACCCGAGACUCAGUGAAAUUGAACUCGCUGUGAAGAUGCAGUGUACCCGCGGCAAGACGGAAAGACCCCGUGAACCUUUACUAUAGCUUGACACUGAACAUUGAGCCUUGAUGUGUAGGAUAGGUGGGAGGCUUUGAAGUGUGGACGCCAGUCUGCAUGGAGCCGACCUUGAAAUACCACCCUUUAAUGUUUGAUGUUCUAACGUGGACCCGUGAUCCGGGUUGCGGACAGUGUCUGGUGGGUAGUUUGACUGGGGCGGUCUCCUCCUAAAGAGUAACGGAGGAGCACGAAGGUUGGCUAAUCCUCGGUCGGACAUCAGGAGGUUAGUGCAAUGGCAUAAGCCAGCUUGACUGCGAGCGUGACGGCGCGAGCAGGUGCGAAAGCAGGUCAUAGUGAUCCGGUGGUUCUGAAUGGAAGGGCCAUCGCUCAACGGAUAAAAGGUACUCCGGGGAUAACAGGCUGAUACCGCCCAAGAGUUCAUAUCGACGGCGGUGUUUGGCACCUCGAUGUCGGCUCAUCACAUCCUGGGGCUGAAGUAGGUCCCAAGGGUAUGGCUGUUCGCCAUUUAAAGUGGUACGCGAGCUGGGUUUAGAACGUCGUGAGACAGUUCGGUCCCUAUCUGCCGUGGGCGCUGGAGAACUGAGGGGGGCUGCUCCUAGUACGAGAGGACCGGAGUGGACGCAUCACUGGUGUUCGGGUUGUCAUGCCAAUGGCACUGCCCGGUAGCUAAAUGCGGAAGAGAUAAGUGCUGAAAGCAUCUAAGCACGAAACUUGCCCCGAGAUGAGUUCUCCCUGACCCUUUAAGGGUCCUGAAGGAACGUUGAAGACGACGACGUUGAUAGGCCGGGUGUGUAAGCGCAGCGAUGCGUUGAGCUAACCGGUACUAAUGAACCGUGAGGCUUAACCUU